CAGAUUCAGAGAGCAGCUACUAGGAUUCACUUAAAAGAACUAAAUGCUGCAGGAUCACCUGAAUGCUUCAUGGUCAGAUGGCUACUGGAAAAAAGAAGUGGCACUGCCAGCUGUGACACAUGCUUACAAGACAAUAUUGGCUUUUGGAACCAAGAAAAGCAAAAUGUUAUUGGAAAAAUAAGAUGAAUCCUUUCUUCCAUUUCUAAGUGGUACUUUAUCAAACAAGCCCUAGGAAGGAGACAGUGACAAACCAAAAUCUUGCCAAGAAAACUGCAGAGACUUUUCCAGGCAAUCUUCAGGAAUCAAGACCAAAUCAAGGGGGAAGGAAUCAGACUCUGCUGAGAGAAAACACCACGCAUUGAGUGAAUAGAGGGAGGCAAGGCUAUCUAUGGAGUAUGAAGAAAUGAUAAAACACAGUGGCCAUUACAGUAGCUGCACAUCGUGUUCAGACUAUGGCUUGCAAUUCCUACAAUGAUUUUUAAAGCUUUUUAUUCUAGUGUCAGCUCCACUCAAUGUUUCUCAAAAGAGAAUGCAAGGAAAGGACCUUUAAGCCUCCUCACUCCAGCACUGCAAUUAGCAAGGAAAAAAAGCCAUCGUCGUCGUCAUCAUCAUCAUCAUCAUCAUCAUCAUAUUUUCAUAGUGCUAAAUCAAGCACUGAACCUGGAAUGACCUUCCUUCCUUCCUUCCUUCCUUCCUUCCUUCCUUCCUUCCUUCCUUCC